UACAGAGGUCCCAAGCGUUGUUCGGAUUCAUUGGGCGUAAAGGGUGCGUAGGUGGCAUGGUAAGUUGAAGGUGAAAUCUCGGAGCUCAACUCCGAAACUGCCUUCAAUACUGCUGUGCUUGAGAGCUGUAGAGGAGAAUGGAAUUCACGGUGUAGCAGUGAAAUGCGUAGAUAUCGUGAGGAAGACCAGUGGCGAAGGCGAUUCUCUGGGCAGUUUCUGACACUGAGGCACGAAGGCUAGGGGAGCAAACGGG
rnacentral:rRNA from 1 species